CCUACGGGAGACAGCAGUGGGGGAUAUUGCACAAUGGGGGGAACCCUGAUGCAGCGACGCCGCGUGGGUGAAGGAGUAUCUCGGUACGUAAAGCUCUAUCAGCAGGGAAGAAAAUGACGGUACCUGACUAAGAAGCCCCGGCUAAAUACGUGCCAGCAGCCGCGGUAUUACGUAGGGGGCAAGCGUUAUCCGGAUUUACUGGGUGGAAAGGGAGCGUAGACGGCAGCACAAGUCUGGAGUGAAAUCCCGGGGCUUAACCCCGGAACUGCUUUGGAAACUGUGCGGCUGGAGUGCAGGAGGGGUAAGCGGAAUUCCUAGUGUAGCGGUGAAAUGCGUAGAUAUUAGGAGGAACACCGGUGGCGAAGGCGGCUUACUGGACUGUAACUGACGUUGAGGCUCGAAAGCGUGGGGAGCAAACAGGAUUAGAUACCCUAGUAGUC
rnacentral:rRNA from 1 species